GACGAACGCUGGCGGCGUGCUUAACACAUGCAAGUCGAACGAAGUGGCGAACGGGUGAGUAACGCGUAAUCAACCUGCACUUCAGAGGGGAACAACAGUUGAAAACGACUGAUACUACCGCAUCCUUACGGAGGUGAAUGAGUCGGUUGAGGGAGUUGGCGGGGUAACGGCCCACCAAGGCGAAGAUCAGUAGCCUGUCUGAGGAGGUGAAAGGCCAAAUAGGGACUGAGACACGGCCCAGAAUCCUACGGGAGGCAGCAGUGGGGAAUCUUCCGCAAUGGACGAAAGUCUGACGGAGCAACGCCGCGUGAGUGAUGACGGCCUUUGGGUUGGAAAGCUCUUUUAAUCGGGACGCGGUACCGGAAUAGAAAGCCACGGCUAACUACGUGCCAGCAGCCGCGGUAAUUC
rnacentral:rRNA from 1 species